GAAAAGCGGGUAGUACCCAACGGUUAUUGUGCAGUCGUUGGGUUACGUCAACUUACUAUUGUCCUGACAGGAAGUGGACUUUUAGUGUCAACGGAGCGGGACCGGCUUGCAACCUUUCUUCCUGCACUGCUUCUGCCCAAAUUCCUCAGAUAUCAAGAUUGUGGUGGCAGCACUGUGCGCCUACAGAACCUACAAAAGGACGCUACACCCCUCAGAUCACUGCAGUCAGCGGCUUGUUUGACUGUUACUCAUAUCUGCUUCUGAUGUAUGAAUAGGCUUUUACUACUGUUCGCAGACACGCAUUAUGAGCGCCGAUAGGAAGAUUACCAACGCACGUAACGUUACCAACGGCGCUGGGUGCCAAACGAUGAAUCUCGUACGAAGUGACAGGUGGUGAGAACACAAGGUGGUGAAAACCCAAUCUCUCCAGUUAGUUGGUGGCUUACGCAAGCAAGGGAAACUAGACGGUGCACCGCAGGUCCCGAAGUAUACGUAAAACAGAUGAACUUGAUCACCGAGAAGCAGAGUUCCUAAAGAAUAUUUUUCAUCGCCGCUGUACGGACAUUGCGAAUAUGUGUCCCAUGAGUUCACGCUUUGUGGAAUACGACAGUAUGUGUUGAUGAUGACUCGUACGCUUUCGUAGACAUGUAAGUGCUAAAUCUAGUUUCUGUUGGUGCAAUUUACCGUUUCGUGUAGUUUCUUGCGAGCGAUCCUUCAACAAAUAUUAGAUAUCCACAAUUCUGUAAGACAUUUGAAAUAACUGUUACAUAGUCUGAUAGAAGUGUGCAUGCCUUGAGUGUAUCUGUACAAUCGAAGGAACUCAAUAUAUGUGAAGUUUUGUGACA